rnacentral:rRNA from 1 species
CGAUGUUGGAUUAGGAUUCUUUUUUGGUGAAGAAACCAAAAAAAGAAGUUUGUUCAACUUUUAAAUUCCUACAUGAUCUGAGUUUAGACCGAUGAGAAUCAGGUUGGAUUCUAUCUUAAUAAAAAAAAUUUUUUAGUUAGUACGAAAGGAAUUCUAAAAAUUAAUUAUUAAGAUAAUCAACUUUAUUUGCAUCAAUUUUUGGAAU